rnacentral:rRNA from 1 species
UACAGAGGGGGCAAGCGUUGUUCGGAAUUACUGGGCGUAAAGGGCGCGUAGGUGGCGUCGUAAGUCGGGUGUGAAAGCCCUCGGCUUAACUGAGGAAGUGCAUCCGAAACUGGCAGGCUAGAGUACCAAAGAGGGUCGCGGAAUUCCCGGUGUAGAGGUGAAAUUCGUAGAUAUCGGGAGGAACACCGGUGGCGAAGGCGGCGACCUGGGUGGAUACUGACGCUGAGGUGCGAAAGCGUGGGGAGCAAACAGG